CCUACGGGGGGUAGCAGUAGGGAAUAUUGCUCAAUGGGGGAAACCCUGAAGCAGCAACGCCGCGUUGAGGAUGAAGGUUUUCGGAUUGUAAACUCCUUUUGUUAGAGAAGAUUAUGACGGUAUCUAACGAAUAAGCCACGGCUAACUCCGUUCCAGCAGCCGCGGUAAUAAGGAGGGUGCAAGCGUUACUCGGAAUCAAUGGGCGUAAAGGGUGCGUAGGCGGGGUAAUAAGUCAGAUGUGAAAUCCUGUAGCUUAACAACAGAAAUGUAUUUGAAACUGUUAAUCUGGAGUGUGGGAGAGGUAGAUGGAAUUCUUGGGGUAGGGGGAAAAACCGUAGAGAUCAAGAGGAAUACUCAUUGCGAGGGCGAGCUGCUGGAACAUUACUGACGCGGAGGCACGAAAGCGUGUGGAGCAAACAGGAGUAGAGACCCGAGUAGUC
rnacentral:rRNA from 1 species